rnacentral:rRNA from 1 species
GAUCAUGGCUCAGGACGAACGCUGGCGGCGUGCUUAAUACAUGCAAGUCGAGCGAGCUACUUCGGUAGCGAGCGGCGCACGGGUGAGUAACGCGUAGAUGAUCUACCCUCGAGACUGAGAUACCUCCGGGAAACUGGAGUUAAUACCAGAUAACGCACAUUGGUUGGUUCUGAUGUGUUAAAGCGGUGCAAGUCGCACUUGAGGAUGAGUCUGCGGCCUAUCAGCUAGUUGGUGGGGUAACGGCCUACCAAGGCGAAGACGGGUAGCUGAUCUGAGAGGAUGAUCAGCCACAUUGGGACUGAGACACGGUCCAAACUCCUACGGGAGGCAGCAGUGAGGAAUAUUGGUCAAUGGGCGUAAGCCUGAACCAACGCCAAGUAGCGUGCAGGAUGACCGGCCCGUACGGGUUGUAAACUGUCUUUUGCCGGGGAAUAAAGUUCGGGACGCGUCCCGUUUUGUAUGUACCCGGAGAAUAAGGACCGGCUAAUUCCGUGCCAGCCGCCGC